UUGAAGCCAUCUCUGCAAGGGCAGGGACUUGAUCUUAUCCAUGGCUGCCUUCCCAGGACCUGAACAAGCAUCCUCAGAAACAUCAGGCACUGGUUUACCUGGUUGGGAUUCAGCAAUAAACCAGACCACGUGGUUGCUGACUUCAUGGAACCCAUAUUCCAGUGCAGAAGACAGAUAAACACAAUUAGUGAAUGGAUUCAUGAGUAAUUUGAGGUAUCGGCCAGUACUAUGAAGACAUUUUAUUCAGGAGAAGUGGAGAACAAGUGAUAGCACAGUGGAGCUUCACCACUUUGUAACGAGAGAGAUGAUUCGCUUAAAAUACUCCACGGAUGGCCAAGGCCCAGCCUGCGUCGUUGCCUUUCUUGGGACCAAUUUCUCUGGCCAGAGAAGGACUCCUUCCCACUCUACCCACCACACUUGGCCGCAGCACCAAUCCACCACGAGUUUAGCUG